rnacentral:rRNA from 1 species
CAUGGCUCAGAACGAACGCUGGCGGCGUGCUUAACACAUGCAAGUCGAACGCGAAAGGGGUUUCGUUCCUGAGUAGAGUGGCGCACGGGUGAGUAACGCGUAAGUGAUCUACCCCUGUAUUUGGGAUAACUAUGGGAAACUGUAGCUAAUACCGGAUACGUUCAUGUAAUUGCGGUUAUGUGAAGAAAGAUGGCCUCUGACUUAAGCUAUUGUACAGGGAGGAGCUUGCGUACCAUUAGCUAGUUGGUAGGGUAAUGGCCUACCAAGGCAACGAUGGUUAGCGGGUCUGAGAGGAUGAUCCGCCACACUGGAACUGAAACACGGACCAGACUCCUACGGGAGGCAGCAGUGAGGAAUAUUGCGCAAUGGGGGCAACCCUGACGCAGCGACGCCGCGUGGAUGAUGAAGGCCUUCGGGUCGUAAAAUCCUGUCGGAUGGGAAGAAGUGUUAUGUGGCUAA